rnacentral:rRNA from 1 species
GUCUAUGGCCAUACCAACCUGAACUCACCCAAAUCAUCUGAUCUCGGAAGCUAAGCAGGGUUGGACCUGGUUAGUACUUGGAUGGGAGACUUCCAGGGAAUACCAGGUGCUGUAGGUU